UACGGGGGGAGCAAGCGUUGUUCGGAUUUACUGGGCGUAAAGGGCGCGUAGGCGGCCAGCACAAGUCAGUUGUGAAAUCUCCGAGCUUAACUCGGAAAGGUCAACUGAUACUGUGCGGCUAGAGUGCAGAAGGGGUACACUGGGAAUUCUUGGUGUAGCGGUGAAAUGCGUAGAUAUCAAGAGGAACACCUGCGGCGAAGGCGGGUUGCUGGGCUGACACUGACGCUGAUGCGCGAAAGCUAGGGGAGCGAACGGG
rnacentral:rRNA from 1 species